rfam:Glossina palpalis gambiensis isolate 146720 unplaced genomic scaffold Scaffold10, whole genome shotgun sequence.
AUACUGUACUGUAGACCUGUCGGAUUCUGGGGUAAAAUAGUCGGAUCCCUUUGUGUAAUCGCUGGCGUGCUGACAAUCGCUUUGCCCGUACCGGUUAUUGUUAGCAAU